rnacentral:rRNA from 1 species
CUCUUUCAGAGUCCGAGUUGCUGUUGCAGAGGGCGCUUUGGCUUUGCACCAUCUCCCGGUUCCUUGGAACAGGACUCCUCAUAGGGUGAGAAUCCCGUACGUGGAUCGGUCGAUUGCCGUGUAAAGCCCCUUCCACGAUCCGAGUUGUUUGGGAAUGCACCUCUAAUUGGGAGGUAAAUUUCUUCUAAAACUAAAUAUUGCCCGGACACCGAUACCGCACAAGUAGAGUGAUCGAAAUAUGAAAAGCUCUUUGGAAAGACAGUCACACAGCACGUGAAAUUGUUGAAAGGGAAGCGCUUGCAGCCAGACUUGCUUGCAGUUGCUCAUCCGGGCUUUUGCCCGGUGCACUCUUCUGCGGGCAGGCCAGCAUUGUUUGGGCGGUGGCAUAAAGGUCUCUGUCACAUACCUUCCUUCGGGUUGGGCUUAUAGGGGAUACCCCUUACCACCAUCCUGGACUGAGGUCCGCGCAUCUGCUAGGAUGCUGGCUCAAUGGAUGUAACCGGCCCGGCUUGAAACACCUACCAAGGAUACUAACCUCUAUGCGAGUGUUUGCUUGUCUUGCCCGAUGCAGUACUGAACAUGACGGGACGUGGAAAGCCCUUUGGGUGCACCAUCCACCGAUCCUGAUAUUUACGGAACGACCUCAGUGACAUCAUGUCUGUUGGAACUCGAAAGAUGGUGAACUAUGCUUGAACCUCUUGAAGCUAGAGGACACUCUGGGGAAGACUCGCAUCGGUUCUGACAUGCGUAGCCGCCUC